AUUGAACGCUGGCGGCAGGCUUAACACAUGCAAGUCGAGCGGAGAUGAGGUGCUUGCACCUUAUCUUAGCGGCGGACGGGUGAGUAAUGCUUAGGAAUCUGCCUAUUAGUGGGGGACAACAUUCCGAAAGGAAUGCUAAUACCGCAUACGCCCUACGGGGGAAAGCAGGGGAUCUUCGGACCUUGCGCUAAUAGAUGAGCCUAAGUCGGGUUAGCUAGUUGGUGGGGUAAAGGCCUACCAAGGCGACGAUCUGUAGCGGGUCUGAGAGGAUGAUCCGCCACACUGGGACUGAGACACGGCCCAGACUCCUACGGGAGGCAGCAGUGGGGAAUAUUGGACAAUGGGCGGAAGCCUGAUCCAGCCAUGCCGCGUGUGUGAAGAAAGCCUUUUGGUUGUAAAGCACUUUAAGCGAGGAGGAGGCUACCUGGAUUAAUACUCUAGGAUAGUGGACGUUACUCGCAGAAUAAGCACCGGCUAACUCUGUGCCAGCCGCCGCCGUAAUAC
rnacentral:rRNA from 1 species